rnacentral:lncRNA from 1 species
UAUAUAUAUAUAUAUAUAUACACACAAUUAUUGAAUAACAUAAUGGUAUGGUACUCGGAGGAUACCCAAUCUUGGAGCAAAAGUGCCUGUACUGAGAUCUUCGUCAGAAACGUCGAAUACUGCAUGUCAUUCGUAACCUUGACUGUAUUUUGCAGCUCUGUCGUGUCGCUUGUUUCUCAAAGAACAAUAUGCUGUUCCUUGAAUAGAUAUUCUGUGCAGUCUUGUGAAGAACUUGAUGCGAGCCAACUCUUGUUUUUUUUUUCAGUGGGUUUUUUGUGGGGUUUUUUCUCCUUCCUUUGAUCCAAUAUGGCUGCCAUGGCUGCCAUGGCUGCUAGACCGCGUGACACCUGAUGGUCCUUUUUAUGAAAAUCCUCUUCAAAUUUCAAGUCAAUCAGAUGAAAAUUGACUUUUAUUGAUUUUUGCCUCUGCUGACCUCAAAAGUAUGUGUGUGGUGUGUGUGUUUUAGAAUGUGGAAUGGAAACCUCACAGGGUGGGCUCUAAGUAUCCACCUGCAUUACCUCCUCCACCGAAGGCCAAACGGUGAAGCAAUGGCCCCACCCGAGGGCACAAGCUGUGAUUUUGUGGCCUGGCUGUGUGAGCAAGAUGUGGACAAUGAAACCGCUUCGAUGGUCAUCAACGAUCUUGGCAUCAACAGCUUUGAGCUUCUGCGCUCCAGCACAGAGACCCCACAGCUCCGUGCGGAGUUUUUCGCACUCAUCAAGGGGCGGCUACCUUUCGCGCGUUACGCCAUGAUGCGCCGUGUCGUUGAGGUGCACGGGGUCAGCCUGAACGAACCUCUACUCUCGACUCCGAUGGCAGAACUAUCCGACGAUCAAAGCAGACAGCAGGCACUCAAUGCUGUUAUUCCUGAGGUUUUGAUAAAUUACUUGGAAAGGGCGUCAAAGGAGAUGCAUAAUUGCUCGAGACUGCUCAAGGAAUAUCAUGGGAUUGUUGAUCAAUCUUCGGCACCAAAUGUGUCAGCUGAAUGCUUUGAGGAAGACCAUGCUCCCAAGCGUUAUGAAGUAAAUGCUGCCCCAACAGCCCAAGAGGAAAUCAAAAAUGGUGAUUGAAGCAAGAAUUGACAAUUGUGUGGUGGAUAGGAGAAUUUGUUUGGGUUUGGUGCACUUUGUUGUUUCUUCUUCUUUUAUGUACAGGUGGGAUUAUGAAUGAUUUUAAAACUUCAAGAUCACUGCUGAAACGAUCUUUAUUUUUUUUUUUUAUUGAGUAAUUUGCAUCCUGAGACUCAAAAGCAUAUGAAAUGUUCCUUUGUUAGUCAUCAUGUUCCCUUUUUCAUGCAGUUAUUGGUUAGAACUGUUUUUAUUUUUUCUUUAAUUGUAUUAUGAAAACUUUUUUUUGGCAAAAGUUUGUAGCAUGAUGGCAUUAUCAUUUCUCUUUUGCACAACACACACCACACACACACACACACACACACACACACACAACACACACACACACACACGCUUGGCCAAUAUUGGGAAUCGGCUGAUUGGAGUCGGGGUGAUUACCGACUGCAAUACGUACUGCAUACAACUCGAAAACCUCGAGUGGCUUCACCCUUGUUUUGGGGGAAUUUAAAUCAACAAAUUAAAAAAAUCGUUGCAUUUUCAAUGUUUUAAGGAGAUGUGCAUAAACAUUAAUAUUUAUAAACAUCUGGCAAGCAUCACGUGAUUGGUAGAAAAUAAUUUUUAGCUCUGUAACUUAGAAAACACGUUGUAUAAUAUGGCAAACGGCUUGGAAAUCGGUUGUUGUGAAAUGUAUUUUGCUUUGAAACUCAGAGAAACCACAUAACCUUUCGAAAUCCCAUCAUCAUCAAAAGAUACGGGAUGAAACUUUGCCACCACGGCACCUGUAACUAAGCAUGCAGGCAUGCGCACACACACCCGCGGAGACUCCCUUUACAAAUCCAAAUGUACCCAUAUGUACCACGUUCCUUGUGGCAACUGCCAACUGUACAUCCUGUUUGGGACACGAACUGUACCACUAUAAACUAUAGGGUGCUUGGCAAGCGGCUUAAGCACUCAAGCAAGCACUGAUUAAAUGAAUGGUUGGCUUGGCAAGCGAUAGAAAGCUGAUUGGUAAUGGCACUUACCCGCAAAAACUAAACAUCACCGAUUUCUUGACAUUUUCAGAUUUCACUCCAGAUUUUGAGUUAUUUAAUCCACUUGAUGCGAUCCUCAAAACUCAAAUUAUGUUGAACAGCUUGCUUGGCGAUCGCUUGUUCCCAUCAUGUUGAACUUCUCUCGGAGAUGCCAGAAAUGUCAAAUAUGUUUGAAUUGGAUAAAUGAACGCUUUCUUUUUUAUUUUAUUUUUAGCAGUCGGAACUGCUGCUAAGUUCAAUUCUGGAGCUUAAAUUUUGUAAUCCGGCUUAAUUUAAGAGGUUCUCGAGGUUAUGGCAUGUGCAGAAAUGAAAUAAAGGCACGAACGCUGGCAUCUCUGGGCAUUUAUAAGCAAUGUAAUGUAUCCAGCGAUGCCGUAGAUAUGAUGAUUCAGAAUUGGUUAAUAUGAAUGAGAAAGUGGAAAAACAAACCCCCCCCCCCCCCCCCCCCCCCCCCCCCCCCCCCCC